GGACCGUUUCUCUACGAUUAAUAGUAAAUGACCAAUUGUUUAAUGGAAUCAAAUCAAAUGUUAGGGAUGAAAUUGUUAGCGUGGUUAAAAUUAAUGUGGUUACAGUUAAUUUCCUGCAAUAGGCAGCUUUAUUUUAGUAUUGGAGAUCAGUGACCAUAAUCAAAUUAUAAGCACCACACACCCCCAACCCCCCCCCCCCAACAAACAACCCACCCG
rnacentral:misc_RNA from 1 species